rnacentral:rRNA from 1 species
UACCGGUUGCUUUAACAUGCAAGUCGAGCGGCAGCGCGGGGCACCUGGCGGCGAGCGGCGAACGGGUGAGUAAUACAUCGGAACGUACCCAGUCGUGGGGGAUAGCCCGGCGAAAGCCGGAUUAAUACCGCAUACGACCUGAGGGUGAAAGUGGGGGACCGCAAGGCCUCACGCGAUUGGAGCGGCCGAUGGCGGAUUAGCUAGUUGGUGAGGUAAAGGCUCACCAAGGCGACGAUCCGUAGCUGGUCUGAGAGGACGACCAGCCACACUGGAACUGAGACACGGUCCAGACUCCUACGGGAGGCAGCAGUGGGGAAUUUUGGACAAUGGGGGAAACCCUGAUCCAGCCAUUCCGCGUGAGUGAAGAAGGCCUUCGGGUUGUAAAGCUCUUUCGGCAGGAACGAAACGGUUUGCCCUAAUACGGUGAGCUAAUGACGGUACCUGAAGAAGAAGCACCGGCUAACUACGUGCCAGCAGCCGCGGUAAUACGUAGGGUGCGAGCGUUAAUCGGAAUUACUGGGCGUAAAGCGUGCGCAGGCGGUUAUGUAAGACAGAUGUGAAAUCCCCGGGCUUAACCUGGGAACUGCGUUUGUGACUGCAUAACUUGAGUGUGGCAGAGGGGGGUGGAAUUCCACGUGUAGCAGUGAAAUGCGUAGAGAUGUGGAGGAACACCGAUGGCGAAGGCAGCCCCCUGGGUCAACACUGACGCUCAUGCACGAAAGCGUGGGGAGCAAACAGGAUUAGAUACCCUGGUAGUCCACGCCCUAAACGAUGCGAACUAGGUGUUGGGGAAGGAGACUUUCUUAGUACCGCAGCUAACGCGUGAAGUUCGCCGCCUGGGGAGUACGGUCGCAAGAUUAAAACUCAAAGGAAUUGACGG